UGAAAAGAUUAUUUAUUUUCAUAAGUAUACAUUGUAGUGUGAUCUGAAAUACAAAUUAUAAAUGAUGCUAGUACAAUUCAUUCAUUUUGUACGUCAAGAGAUUACGAAAGGAAAUUGCGUGAAUACGUACACUUCUUUCUCUUAUCGAUAUUAUCUAAUUUAAAUAGUGGGGCCAUCAUUUUAAACGAAUGCAAUAAACAGAGGCGCAUCAUGGGGUCAGCCUGAUGCUAUCCUGACAUUGACAGGAAUCAUUCCAUUACUGUCUGCAAUGGGUUAACGAGAAAAUUCCUGUCGGUUGGCAGUGAACGUGAGUGAAAGGCGAUCAGCUGUUGCCUCUGACUCGAUCUUACAUCAUGGUCUUUAAAUAACACGCGCUCGGAUGUUUGCAAAUCAAAAUAUUUCGUAACUCGCGUUCAAUGAUAUGAUCUGUUAACAAAUUUUGGAAUACUUUGAUUUUAUUUUUAUACGACGAGGGAAGAUCGAAAACAUAGAGGAGAGAAUAUUGAAAUUGAAAUUUGAAACAGUUCGAAAGGAAAUCAAGAAACAUUAAUUUCAAAACCGUAAAAUUGUCAAUUAUAAACCACAUGAUAUAAAACCGCGAGACAUUAAGGAGUUUAGAAACAAGCAAUUGAGAUGAUAUAUCACUUAUGUACAAGGGAAUUAACGAAUAUACCCUCAGGAUGUAAAUUUCCAUGAUCCACAUUCGGUUCGCUCAAGGACCCACUUACUUGAUGGACCAGAUGCUUGAAGCAUUUAAAUCAGCAAAGGAGUCAAUAAAUCUUUCGACUUCAAAGCAGUACGUACGAUGUAUAUGUAACAUCUUCGAUCGAUAAAGAAUGACAUAAUAACUGAUAAAAUUAAAAAAAGAAAUUACUUCGUCAUUGAUCAAUUUUGUCUAAUUUUCGCUGCCAUUGUGUAAAAAAAAGAAACAUAAAUAAAUUAGUAUUGUGUUGUAAUGAAUAACGAGUCAGAUCGUUGAACGUGUCAAAGGACGUACAAUUCUAUGCAUUUUUUCCGAUGUCAGCUGUUUUGAAAAUAUUCUCGAGGAUCGCUUUAAAUUGGACACGCUGUAUCCUGCUAUUAACGAUAUUAACAUAAUAAUAAUAGCGGAUAUGUGUAACUUGUCUGAUUCAGAAACGUAUUAUUUUAACAAGAAAUUGUUACAAAUAACAUUCUAUAAUAUGACAUUCUAUUAAGUAACAUAACUAAAGCUCGUUAAAAUUAGAUUCAAUUUCCAUCGAAGAUGCAACAUUUAGGGGGUCAACGUUAGUCUCAACAGUCCAUAAUUUUUAAUUCCAUUCACUCGCAAGAUUCAUCGGUUUGCCAACUAGCUAAUUAGGCUGGCUAAUUAAGUUCAACUUAAUCAGCACUGAUAUUAUGGCCAAGAGCAAAGAACAGUACGCAUCGUUAUGAUCGACUUAUGGUCAUAUUUACAUAAUUGCUUUUUUAUUGAUUUUUAUUUAUUAUCGAAACCUAUAUAUCCAUCGUCAAGGCCAAAGACAUAAAAAUCGAGAGAAGAAAGAACGUACAGAAGACUUUAAUAUCGGAAGCGUGGAAUGCCUGUCCAAUUUAUACUGGACAUAACCAGGCCAAGUGGUAGUUUUAAUAUUAGAAUUAGUAGAAUAGGCGAAGUGACUGAUACAAAAUUUUAUAAAUACGCAAUAGUCUAUUUUCGUGGGAUUUGAGUGGUUUUUGUUAGAAUGUUUAGACAAAAGUUUUCAUCGAGCCAGUGAAACGUUUUCUCGAAACACUUUCAAGACGCGUAUCUUGUUUCAACAUUAUGAAUUUGCUUCGAAUUUCGUUCAUAAAAUGUUCUUUGCAUGCUUUCUUCGAUAUCGACUGAUUAAUUCGUUUAUUUCUACGCCAUGCAUACGACCAGAUUUCUUUUGAAUUUUAAAUAAACCUAAAUUAAAGUUAAUCUUAGUUUCCUUCGAAUGCAACAAAAUUAGCUAAAGUUGGCUGCUGUGCUAUGCGUUG